CACAACUAACUUCACCCCACUGCUAUCCAAAUUCCGAACAGAAAUGAGGGAAUGGGCCCUUCCACACAUAUCCUGGCUGGGCAGGAUACAAGUUGUAAAGAUGAACUUCCUGCCCAGAUUACUCUUCCUCUUUCAAGCCCUACCUAUUAUCCUGCAACGGUCCUUCUUCACUUAGCUCCAACGGGCGCUAGGGGAAUUCAUAUGGGAUGGGAGGAGACCCAGACUGAAGUACAC